rnacentral:rRNA from 1 species
UAGGAGUGAAAUCCGUGGAUAUCACAAGGAACCCAAAGGCGAAGGCAUUGCACUGGGUUAGCACUGACCCUGAGAGACGAAAGCUUGGGGAGCAAAACGGAUUAGAUACCCGUGUAGUCCACGCCCUAUACGAUGAAUGCUAAAUGUUCGGGGAUUCGACCCCCUGGGUGUUACAGCUAACGCGUUAAGCAUUCCGCCUGGGAAGUACGUCCGCAAGGCUAAAACUCAAAGGAAUAGACGGGGAUCCGCACAAGCGGUGGAGCGUCUGGUUUAAUUCGACAGUAAGCGUGGUACCUCACCAGGGUUUGACAUCCCUUGACAGCCUUGGAAACAAGGUUUCCUUCGGGCAAGGUGACAGGUGCUGCAUGGUCGUCGUCAGUUCGUGCCGUGAGGUGUUCCGUUAAGUCGGGAAACGAACGAAACCCCUAUUGCAUGUUACAAUUUCUCAUGCAAGACUGCCCGGAUAUACUGGGAGGAAGGUGGGGAUGACGUCAGAUCUGCAUGGUCCUUAUACCCUGGGCGACACAGGCGCUACAAUGGCAGAGACAAAGGGUUGCAAAACCGCAAGGUGAAGCUAAUCCCAAAAACUUUGUCUAAGUUCGGAUUGAAGGCUGCAAUUCGCCUUCAUGACGCUGCAAUCGCUAGUAAUCGUGAAUCAGCCACGUCACGGUGAAUAUGUUCCCGGAUC